GCGACCCCAGGUAUGGGCGAGGCCACCC
rnacentral:rRNA from 1 species